rnacentral:lncRNA from 10 species
CGCUGGUCACACGCAGUCAGCUCUGGCGGGUGCAUUUGCACCACGAGAAGUGAGUUGUUAAACAUUUACCAGCACACACGCUGCAGGGGACCUAAGGAGAGUGAUGGCACUGGAAAGAGGAAUGCUCCUGCUUCUAAUCCUCCUUGAUAGAGGCGCUCCCCUUUUGUUUUUGAAGAAUUUAUAGAAGCUUUUCCACCGGGGAGCUUCAGCUAGGUCUUCUCAUCAGUGCUGUGUGCCAGACAAGCCAGAUGAUCAAGGAAGUACCUACACUUUGGACACUGUCAGUUUGCCUGGGGACUGAGAGCUUACAGUCCAAGCUUGCUUCAACUCUGGCUGAGGCCAACAGAGAGAGCCCAAAGACAACUGAAGGAGCGGCAGAAAACAAAUAUGGGAACGGGGUAAUUGGCUUCCAGUUCCUUCAUUCGCAGGUCAUGAAAAAAACCUGGGGCUAGACUCCAUGAGAGUUUUUUUGUUUUCUGUUUUGUUUGUUUGUCUGUUUGUUUGUUUGAGACUGAGUCUCGCUCUGUCACCCAGGCUGGAGUGCAGUGGCGCGAUCUCGGCUCACUACAAGCUCCGCUUCCCAGGUUCACGCCAUUCUCCUGCCUCAGCCUCCCGAGUAGCUGGGACUACAGGCGCCCGCCACCACGCCCUGCUAAUUGUUUUGUAUUUUUCGUAGAGACAGGGUUUCACUGUGUUAGCCAGGAUGGUCUCGAUCUCCUGACCUUGUGAUCCACCCGCCUCAGCCUCCCAAAGUGCUGGGAUUACAGGCGCGAGCCACCGUGCCCGGCCUGUUUUCUGUUUUUUUGAGACAGGGUCUUGCUCUGUUGCCCAGGCCCUUGAACUAUUCCACUUCCCACUCCUCCCCAGGCCCUUCCUAAUGGGACUAAGUCAUCCUCCACCCUCACCUACCUUCUGGCUGCUGUACCCUCCUCUCUAAGCUUGGGGAUUCUGCCACUGCUCACAGCUGGAAGAACAACAGCCUACAUGUCCAGGCCUUGCCCAGUCCAGAUGAUGCUUUAAAGGCCUUCUUCUUCUUCCUUUUUUUUUUUUUUUUUUUUUGAGAUGGAGUCUCACUCUGUUGCCCAGGCUGGAGUGCAAUGGCGUGGUCUCAGCUCACUGCAACCUCUGCCUCCUGGGCUCAAGCGAUUCUCCCGCCUCAGCCUCCCAAGCAACUGGGACUACAGGCAUGUGCCACCACACCAAGCUAAUUUUUGUAUUUUUAGUAGUGAUGGCGUUUCACUAUGUUGGCCAGGCUGGUCUCGAACUACUGACCUCGUAAUCUGCCUAUCUUGGCCUCCCAAAGUUCUGGGAUUACAGGCAUGAGCCACUGUACCCGCCCUAAAGGCCUUCUUUGAAAGAGAAAAAGAAGAGGUGGCAUUCUGUGAAGGAACAUCAAGGACCAGACAUCCAGCUUCCCCUGCAGCCCAGGUCCCCCUAGCGGUGCUUCUCUUCAGAUUGAGGACCUAUUCUUUGGAGUUCCGAAUUCCUAGUAGUCCAGCCCUCAGAUCUCCACCUUGAGACUCCACCCUCAAGAUUCUCAUUUUCUGCCUUUCCCUUCUAAGGCUUAAUCCCAUCGGGACUAAGGGAGGAGCCUUCCCUUCCAGCCUCACACAGGCAGACUAUCUCAAAAGAAAGAGAAAGCAAUUUUCCCUUGCAUGCUGGCUGUUUCACUUCCUUCUACUUUUAGGAAAUGCUGUAACUUCCAGUGAAAUCACCACGAUCAUCCCCCCAGAUUAACCCCACCUUCCAGUGGAAUCACUGUGACCACCCCUCCAGGAUCAACCACACCAUCCAGCGAAAUUACUGUGAACACUGCCCUGGACCAACCACACCUUCCAGUGGAAUCACCAUGACCACCCCUCCAGGAUCAACCACAUUAUCCAGCAGAAUCACCGUGACCACGCUCCCUGGACCAACCACACCUCCCAGUGGAAUCACUACAACCCCCCUGCCCUGGGUCCACUAUAUCUUCCAGUGGAACUAACACAACAACCGCAACCUCCAGUGUCACCAGCACAAGUGCAGCCCCUCCAGGGAAUGAGGGAAGGUCUAAUGGAUGCCUGAGGCUGUGGGAAGUCAUCCUAGUCACUCUGGCCUUGGUUGCAAUGGCUGUGAUUCUCUUCACAGGGCUCUUUUAUUUCAUGAGUGCCUGAUGUGUGGGAAAUCCUUUUUCUGAGGGAGGGAGUGCAGGGAACUGAGGAGGGAAGCAGGGUAGAGAGAGUAGGGUCAUUGUGUGGCUAAUAGGGAAUGAGAAAUCAGGAGAGGGACAAAGCAAGACAGAGACAGCAGGUGAGAACCAGCAAGAGAGAGGGCUAGAAAAGCUGGUACAUGUUCAGAGGAAAUUGAUGAGGAGAGAAGGGGCCAAAGGAGUACUGAGGCUGGGGAGGCCGAAUGGGGAGUGGGGACACGUGGGAUGGGAGAGCACUGGAAGAGGGGCAUAACUCUGAACCAUCCAUCCUUUUGUUUUCUAGAGAAACUCUCUGUGCCUAAGAAACCUCUUCACCAAAGAUCUUCACAUCCCAAACCUUGGUCCAUGUCCUCAAGGAUAUCAUGGAGUCCAAGAUGGGUCAAGUGAGACUGAAACGGAUUUUAGAGACCAGUGUUCUCCCACAGGCAUGGAGCUGAUGAGGAGACACAGUGUCCCUAAAGGCAGGCACUUCACUGUCCUCAGGGUGGGGAGGACCAGCGGUCUCGGUUUUCCUCACUUGCCCCCAGGGCUGCUCCUCCCAGCUCUGCUCCAGCCCCUGACACUCCUACCUUCUGUUUAGUUCUCCCAGACCUGAAACAGGAGGCUAUCGCUAGUGCUGAAUGAUUAAAUAAGUGCAUCUGCUCUAUGUGACAGCCAGACUGUGGGUGUGUGCUUGUAUAUUGCUGUGAAGAGAGGUUUCCUAUAUCAUGAGGACACUCUUUCGCUGUGACCUCCCAGUUCUCAAAUCCUAGCAUGAAAUCCAGAGACCUCACAUCUGUCCCAUUUUCUUCCCCACUCCUUCCCUGCUCCCCGAGGCCUCUGGGUCGAUGGAAGAACGGAGUCAGGAGAGAUGGGGGAAGGCAGGUGCUGGUCUUUACAGACGUGUGUUGCAUGGCAGGAAAACAGCCUCUGCGUGAGCCUAGAACAUGAACUGGAGGAAAGUGAUCCUGUUUUCAUGUUGUGAGGUAGGAAAGAGCUUGCUACUGGGGCCACCCUUAGACAUGGCCACUUUUCCUGGCCACUCACGUCUGCUCUGGGCUGCAGGUGUGAGUUGCCACCUUUCUCUCCUGUGGGCUCCCAGCCCAGCAACUGUCCUGGGCAGGGAGAAUGUGCUCCCAGUUUUUGCAAGGGCAGGACUGGCUUGCCCUGCUACGGUCUAGAUCCUCAGCAGCUCCCCCAAAACCAGGCCUCAGAGGGCACACAUGCCAGUGUCAGCACCAUGCUCAGGCCUGGUCCCACCCAGGCUUCUGGUGCAACUUGCUCUCGCACUCGCACACGCACCCCACUGAUUCUUCCUCCCUGUGAAUCACUCGCCUCUGCUUUAUCAGUUUCACCCUCUGCUAAGUCUCUUCAGCUUCUGGGAUUCUCCUGGGUCUUUGGGAGAGCCUUAACAGGACCAAGCUGUUUCUCUAAGA